rnacentral:rRNA from 1 species
AUUGAACGCUGGCGGCAGGCUUAACACAUGCAAGUCGAGCGUGCGGCGGACGGGUGAGUAACGUCUGGGAAACUGCCUGAUGGAGGGGGAUAACUACUGGAACCGGUAGCUAAUACCGCAUAACAUCAGAUGUGCCCAGAUGGGAUUAGCUAGUAGGUGGGGGAAUGGUUCACCUAGGCGACGAUCCCUAGCUGGUCUGAGAGGAGGCCCAGCGACACUGGAACUGAGACGCGUUCCAGACUCCUACGGGAGGCAGCAGUGGGGAAUAUUGCACAAUGGGGGAAAGCCUGAUGCAGCCAUGCCGCGGGUGUGAAGAAGGCCUUCGGGUUGUAAAGCACGUUCAGCGAGGAGGCGUUACUCGGAGAAGAAGCACCGGCUAACUCCGUGCCAGCAGCCGCGGUAAUAC